rnacentral:rRNA from 1 species
UACGUAGGGUGCGAGCGUUAUUCGGAAUUACUGGGCGUAAAGCGUGCGCAGGCGGCGCGUUAAGACAGGUGUGAAAGCCCCGAGCUUAACUUGGGAAUUGCGCUUGUGACUGGCGUGCUGGAGUGUGGCAGAGGGAGGUGGAAUUCCACGUGUAGCAGUGAAAUGCGUAGAGAUGAGGAGGAACACCGAUGGCGAAGGCAGCCUCCUGGGCCAGAACUGACGCUCAGGCACGAAAGCGUGGGGAGCAAACAGG